rnacentral:rRNA from 1 species
GACGAACGCUGGCGGCGUGCUUAACACAUGCAAGUCGAACGCUGAAGCUUGGGUGCUUGCAUCUGGGUGGAUGAGUGGCGAACGGGUGAGUAAUACGUGAGUAACCUGCCCUUGACUCUGGGAUAAGCCUGGGAAACUGGGUCUAAUACUGGAUACUACAUUCUCUCGCAUGGGGGUGUGUGGAAAGGGUUUUACUGGUUUUGGAUGGGCUCACGGCCUAUCAGCUUGUUGGUGGGGUAAUGGCCUACCAAGGCGACGACGGGUAGCCGGCCUGGGAGGGUGACCGGCCACACUGGGACUGAGACACGGCCCAGACUCCUACGGGAGGCAGCAGUGGGGAAUAUUGCACAAUGGGCGAAAGCCUGAUGCAGCGACGCCGCGUGAGGGAUGACGGCCUUCGGGUUGUAAACCUCUUUCAGCACGGAAGAAGCGAAAGUGACAGUACGUGCAGAAGAAGCGCCGGCUAACUACGUGCCAGCAGCCGCAGUAA